rnacentral:rRNA from 1 species
UACAGAGGGUGCAAGCGUUAAUCGGAAUUACUGGGCGUAAAGCGUGCGUAGACGGUUGCGUAAGUCAGAUGUGAAAGCCCCCGGCUCAACUGGGGAGGGUCACUCGAUACUGAUCGACUUGAAGGCAGGAGAGGGAAGCGGAAUUCCCGGUGUAGUGGUGAAAUGCGUAGAUAUCGGGAGGAACACCAGUGGCGAAGGCGGCUUCCUGGCCUGCUCUUGACGCUGAGGCGCGAAAGCCAGGGGAGCAAACGGG